rnacentral:rRNA from 1 species
AUUGAACGCUGGCGGCAGGCCUAACACAUGCAAGUCGAGCGGAGCGGCGGACGGGUGAGUAAUGCCUAGGAAUCUGCCUGGUAGUGGGGGAUAACGUCCGGAAACGGGCGCUAAUACCGCAUACUAUCAGAUGAGCCUAGGUCGGAUUAGCUAGUUGGUGGGGUAAAGGCCUACCAAGGCGACGAUCCGUAACUGGUCUGAGAGGAUGAUCAGUCACAUGGGAACGUAGACACGGUCCAGACUGCUACGGGAGGCAGCAGUGGGGAAUAUUGGACAAUGGGCGAAAUCCUGAUCCAGCCAGGCCGCGUGUGUGAAGAAGGUCUUCGUAUUGUAAAGCACUUUAAGUUGGGAGGCGUUACGUACAGAAUAAGCAGCGUCUAACCUCGGGCCAGCAGCCGCGGUAAUUC